GGUCAGCUCUCAUGCACAUGUCAAGAUAUUAAGCAGAGUCUGCCUAAAGGCUUUAACCUUUUAACAUGGCCGCGAGCAUUUCUCUCUCAAUCUUUAUUUUUACAUCUAUUUCACUUUUGGGGACAGCAUAUUAAAGGCACAGUGUGAGGUUUUUAGUGCCAUUGAGCAAAAUGCAUGUGUUCAUAUUUAGUAAGUGGCCGGUCUGGAGACUAAUGUUAUAACUUGGCUUGUGGGCCAUGACAAAAAGAUGGUAGGAACCAACAGUGCCAAAAAUAAAUAAGAUAUUUAUUAUGAAUUCAGAUGAAUAAACAGACGAACCAUAAUUAAGUAUGAGGUGUGGCGCAUCUGUAAAAUUAGUAGUGUGCAUGUGGGUGUGUGAGCAUGGUGGAGUGAGGAGUGUUGAAGAGUGCACCAACACAAGAUCCAAUGAAGGCUAGGUGUGAAGCUAGUCAGGCAUGAAGAGCAUAAGGGCAUAAGAGAGCCACAUCAGAGCCAAUCAGCUCAUCAGGCACCUUAGAAGAAACACAUACGAAUUAGUGUACCCAUCAGCACAACAUAGAGGCAGGGGAGCAGUGCUGGAAUCUGAAAGGUAGAUAUUCCUAAAUAGUCCCAUCUCUAGGCGCUGUACCUUUAAGGCUUUAAGCUGAAUAAUAUGUGUUACUGUUAGCACAAAUGCUCAUAUUGCACAAAAUUGUCUACAAAGUUUCGGAAUUGUAAGUUUGGUGUGUUUGCCUCUCUCAGAAUCAACUACACUUGAUAGUCAAGAAAAUUUUCUUUAGAGAGCACAGAUUGACUUUUUUUUGUAUUUAUUCAUUUGUCCAGAGUCCAGGUCCAGUUUAACCUUUUGGCUGGUAGCUCAGAAAGGCAGAAAGGGAUGAGAUCCUGUGGUCUGUGAUUUGAAGAGCCCUUUGUUUUCUGUACAACAAACCAGAAAAAGUUCUGUGCGAAGGGAGAGAAAGUUUAGUGCAGAGGACAACAGAUGUCUUGAAAAUGAUGGAACAAAGAAAAGGUUAAUCACCCCCGUGGGCUUGUUUCGUAUCACUUGACAAACAGAGAGCCCGUUGGCGAGAGGCAAUGACUUAUCCUCUUCGACCUCUUAACAAGUUUCUGUAGUUUAAUCUGUUUGGACUCAAAACUUUGAUCUCUCAGUGUGAGAAAAAAAGUAACCAACUGCACUGUCCUUUUAUUACUUUUAGAGAGUUGAAAACUCCCGUUGAAUUUUUCGAUUUUUUAUGACCAGGAGGAAAACAGUGGCCUUCAGUUUUCACUUGGUCAUAAUUUAAUUUUACACUCCUAAAAAUAGAUUUAGAGGGAAAUUACUUUAGUGACCUUCUGAAUUGCACUACAUGAGUAAUGAAGUAUUUCUUUACCCUGUGUAUAAUGUCAGGCUCCAUAAAUGGUCUCUGCUGCACAAAUGAACUGUCUUAUUCCUUAUUUAAAGCUGACAGCAUGUUGCUGGUUUGAUUACAAAAUUGUCCGCCCUUGUGUGAAACAUUGUACCCAAGCUGAAAUUUGGAGUGGAGCUUUAAAGACUGAAUAAAAGCAUCUACCUUGAUGUUAUAAAUCAGACUUUUCCAACUUUAAUUGCACCUUAAACAAAGAUAUUUAUUUGUACUGUAACCUUGAGGCUUUCACUUCUGCACAUUCAAAGAACUGUUAGCAAAAAAAAUUCAAUUCCCCGAAACACAGCUUCGCUUCAUGAAUGCAAACCCAAACCAUAAAGUGACGGCCAACCUCUACAGCUAUUAUCAGCAGAAAUAUUCUUCUACUACUCAUCUCAUAAUCUGGGUAAUUUCAUGCAUAACUAAACCACUGUGUCACAGAGCACUGUGAUAUUGAAUGCAUAUUAAGCAGAUAUCAUUAUCAUCACUGGGCAUCAGCCAUUAGUUUGAUGUCAAUGUGUUGGCUCACCAAUCUUCAAAUGCUUUUUUUUUCUGAUUGAUUGAACCACCAAACCUAAAUGAAAGUAAAUAAAUCAGCCAAUAGAAAACCACUUAACUGUGAUUCUCUUUAGCUUUCAAACGCAAUGAUCCUGAGAUUUUCAAGCAACCUCUUCACAACUUAAAACAACUGCUUUCUAAUGUCAUUAUCUCAGACCAAUUGUACCUGCAAAGAGUAAUAAGUGCAUGUGUAAUGGUGUGUGGGUUAUUCAUCUGCUACUUAAACACAUUCUAAUGAAUCUCCUUGAAGUGGAGGGUGAUGAAAUCCUGUAUCUAUUAACUUACAAUCACCUGCAUUCAUACAGCAUGUUCACUCUGUUGUUCAUAAUCGACCAUAAUGACCUCUAAAACAACUUUACAUCUUUUUAGUGUUUGUGCAAGCACCCUUACUAACAGAUUACAAUACAUACAGCAUAAAGAUUAAUGGCUGUUCACUGGUUUGCUAAUUUCUAGGGUUCACACAAUCAUCUACUGAGUGCAUUAACAUGCAACCUACAUAUUCAAGGCACCCAAGCAUGAUGUUUACAAAUCAGCACACCAGAAAACUGUUUGUUCUGUUUAAUCAGAACUGAGUGAGUUGAAUACAAAAUAUGACAGACAAGCUCAGAUUUGGUGAAAUGAAAUGGCAUGUUAAUCGUUUCCGUCAUGUUUUAAAAUUAUGACCGAUUAAUUGCCCUGCUGUGUUACUUAUCACCCAGCUGUGUUAAAUACUUAAUCUUGAUUGUUCAAAAAGACACACAAAAAAAAACAAUGAUUAAUAAUUCAGAAGAGCAAGAAAAAACACCUCCAGGGACCUCCAGAUCAAACAUGAUUUGACCUCUUCCUGUACAACCAAUGUACUGUAUAUGGGUAUAAAACAGCUUAUAACGGUGGCUAAUGGCUGACCAGCUAACAGCAGAAAAGAGAAGAUUAAAGAAAGAAAUAGCUGGGAAGCUGGGUAGGGCUUGCAUUGUGUUGAGAUUCUAGUGCCAAAAAGCAGACAUAUUUACAAUAGAUUUUAAUGAUAAUGACAAUGCUGAUGUGCAGAGUGAUAAUUAUAAUGUUGCCUUGAUUUAUUAGCAUGCAAUCAUUUGCUAACCAGGUCAAAACACAAGCUACAGCUUAGGCUAAUGGGGAUGCUUUCAGUUUUGAAGGUCAUUGAUUAUAAACGCAAGUACUGCUGGCCCAAUUGUAGGACUACCCAUUUCAAUACAAUACAAGAACUUUAUUUAUCCCUGAAGGAAAAUUCAUUUGUCUGGAAUCUCAGAUAAACUGCAGAUAAACCAAGUUAAGAUCUGACCUGCUCAGUGGUGGUAAGGCAGUAGCUCUCUAGGCUUCUCUGAUGUUGGUAUACAGCAGAUCCAGGGUUUUGUUUUCUCUGGUAGGACAGUUGACAAGCUGUGUAAAUCCAGUCAGGUGAGAGAAAAGGGUGACAUGGUUAAAGUCUCUUGAUAUAUUAUUACGUGUCUCAGGAUGUUGAGUCUGUAUCCUAGCAACAGUAUUAUGAAUAAAAUCACAUGGAAUUUCAGCCGUUGCCUUGGGUGGGAGGUAUACAAGUGCUGUUAUGAUAUGACUGAACUCCACUGAAGUCCUACCCUGGUAACAAGAAGACUCCCCAUUUCUAAAAAUCACUUUUUGAGGACUUUUUUUUUUCUUUUUUUAUAAAGAAAAUAAUUAUUGUUGACAAUAAUGAUUAAACACAUUGAAUAUCUUUAGAUAUGGAAUUUUCACAUUUAGGCUGAUUGGCAUAAAACACGAUUGUAUAUAGAUGAUGCACUGAUUGCAUCAGUAUUCUCUAAUAAUCAAAACAACCUGCAGACUAUUGAAAAGUCGGAUAUUUGUUUGAUCUGUUUCAUAAUGACAUACUCUCACCUGCCUUUUUUGACCGUCCUCUAAUGCUUGCCAUCUUUGGACAUUUAACUUUAGGGUAUCAUACUGGAUCUCUUAGCUGUUUGAUGUAUCUGCCACAUACACUACCCUUUAUUAAAGACAGGCAUCCUAACUUUGUCUCAGUUGUCUCUCACUUGGGUGCAACUAUGUUCAGCACGUCUCUUGGUCAUUCAUCACCUGUAGCAGUGACGCACGGUAAAAAAUGAGCACACUCACUUUACAGAGAAGUGGUUCUGUCUAUUGUUACAAAAAUUCAGAAUUAACUUCUAAAUCCUGAAUUCGAGGCACUUGGGGGGUAUUGCAGCCUUUGUCAAGAUUUGACAGGGAAUAUGGGAAGCAGAGAGCAGGGUUACAAUAUGUAGAAAAAGGUCACGGCACAGUACGACAAGCAGCACCCCAAACGAGUUAAAUUUCACCUGUUGAUGGCUUUGGGAUUUAUAGACUACAAGUUGACUUCUUCAAUCACCAGUCACUGCUGUGGACGGCUGUCAACUAGUCAUGUAGUCAAUACCACAAGGGAAGGGGGCUGACCUUGGCUCUCAUGUACAGCUGAAGGUUUAAUUAUUUAUUUGAUGGUUGAUUUGACAGGAACAAAUACAUGAGGCAUUGCUUCACAGUGUAUACACAGUGGAUGCCAUGCAUACACUUUUCUAACCAUGGCUAAUUUUCGGCCCCAGUCCCCCGGUAGACUUCUAUUCAUAAAAACAGAAAUUAUGGAGUAUUCAAAAUAAAAUACUAUUUGCUACUAGAGGUCCUCUGUUAAAUGAAAGGUUUUCUUGCCUCUGUGUCCUGAUGCCCGCUCAUUUGUGGAUUUACUCUUGGUCACAGUCAAUAAUAACACAAAGUACAGUCUUCAAACAGUCUUUGUGAUGAGGCAGUCUUAUGGUUUAUGAUGCACUUCAACCAUAACCAUAACAAUGACAGUAGAAAGUUAUCAGUGAGUACCUCAUGUUCAUCUAUGAGCAAGAGUAUAUUUCUUUUAUUGGUAAUAUUAUGAGAAGAUGAGGCUGCGCAUGUUGGCCACCUACUCACAAUGUCUUCGCUCUCAGGAGUGAGCCAAUAUAAGAAGCAUGAAGGGAAAUCUACAUUUUACUGAACCCCAUCUCAAAUUGCUGCAAUUAAUUGCAUUCACAAAGUGGAACAGAUGCUGAGAAGUGGUCGCAGCACAAUCAUCUCAUCACGCACAGAGCCCUUCACUCUUUUCCUCUCCUAUUCAUUUACAUGGACGACACGUCUUCUAUGUGUUGUCAUUAAGCUUACUUCAAUAUGAGUCACGAUUCUGCGGAGGUAAUUUUUCAACUCUCUGCCCUCGUUAUGAGACAGUUGGACACAAAGUUCACUUAACACCGAUAGUUUUACAGCUGCGGAGUGUUUAGAGCAACACAAAGCUAAUAUCCUCGCCUCAUGCAUUCACGUAGGUGGAGGCAGAUACAGUGUAGUGGGCCUAAUGAGAUAAACAUAACCCCUCUGUCAGAUAAGUGCUGUUCAUAUUAGUAAAUACAGGCGAAAUUGGGAUGUAAAAAACUGGCUUUUUUGAUGAAUUUUCAUGCCAGGAAGCAGACGGAUAUUUGGGGUCUUUUGGGCACCGAGUUGUUAAAGUUUUCAUGAGUUUAGAUAACAAACCGUUGGAGUAAUUACAAAUCAGAGCAGACCAGGAGGGGGCUGGAAAUCUACAGCCAGCAGUAAGAUGGCAAGAGGUAAAAUAUGGAGCAGCUGAUAGGGAGGAGAAACUCCUUGGGGAAACCUCAGUCAAGCGCUUGCAGAAGGUCCUGAGAUACAAAGAUAUGAGGUCUGUAAAUCUGCUGACUGGAGGCUGAAAAAGGAAGAGGAGAAAAUAAUAGGAGAUACUGUAAUUUAAAGAGUCUUACUCGGUUUCUUCCUUUUACGGUUAUACAAACUAGAUUGACUUCUUGUUUUCUUCCAGCAAAUCCAUUUUCAACAGAGACACCAUAUAUGAUCCCUGAGAUUAUGUUUUGGGUACGUAAACACAACGGCACCAAGAAUUCAAGUUGAUAUCUAAUUUCAGCAGACCAGGUACUUUUAGUAGGCAGUGGGGUAAACAGUUACUGAGCUCCUAUUUUUUUAAUUGGGGGAGAAAAAUGUUUGAAAAAUGAUGGAAAUUUAAUGACUUGGUCCUAUUUCAAAAGAGGACCUGUGAGUUAAAAUUUAAACUGUUGAUGAAAACAGGCUGUUGAGCACAUCUUUCAAUAAACACGUCGUGAAUAUGCAUGACUUUAACUCUGAUUCUUGUGGGUUAAAAUCUCGAAGUUUUCACAUUCACAGUCUGUUCUGUCCUCCAGCAUCUCAUUUGACCCAGUUCUGCAGAGAGAAAAGGUGAAGACGCUUCAAAAACUUAAAGCUGCAAGUGGAUUUCAGUCAAGGGGCAGAUCCAGGCUUUGUUCCCUGGGGUUGCCAAACCGCGACAUAGAUUUGUCGAGGUGACCAGGUGUGGGACACCGUAGGAGCUUUACCCCCAAACCUCAGAUGGUUAUUACUAUUUACUUUAAAGAAACUAUGUGUAAUUCAGAUACCUAAAUGUCUGACGAUAUCAUAAGUCCUGAGCCACCCUUAUCCACCCCACUGCUUCAAUCCAGUUUCGAGUUUGCCAAUUCUGCACCUCAGGUAAUCAGUUUUCCACCUAUGGUGUGGGAAUGUUUGUGUUGUGGAUGAGGACCCUGUGGGCAUGUAGCAGAUAAAUUGUCCAGAAACAUAGAUCAUGAGAUUAUUCUAUGAGUGAGUGACUCCUGAGGACCGCAUUAACAAGAGCCAUCGAUGCCACCGCUCCAAUAAUGAGCGUGUCAGCAUCAUCACGGUGGAUAAAUGAGUCAGUAAUGGAGUGAAGGAACAUGGCCCUUCUCCUUACACUGAGGACACAAGGCAUCAAGGGCAAUAAGAUGUUUUCAUUGACCUCCUUUUUUUUACAAUGAGAAAAGUCACUCUGACCUUCUUCCUAGUCUUUCCCGAACUGAACACUGUGUAGAAGCAGAAAUACAUUUUCCUGAGAGGUUCUUUUUAAAACAGCUGAUUUGACACAGUUCUUUGACACCUCUCAGCCGUGUGAUUAAUGAUUUAUUGUGUAAGAAGCGAGCCCUCUACUUUACAGGAACAGCAGCUGUGGUCAGCUCGAAAUCCUGUCGGACAAAGUGAGAUGUGUUUAAAGAGCUUCUCAAACCACUCAACAUGAGACACUUCUAUACUGUAUUUCCUGGAUAUAUACUCAGUCUUGUACCUCUGUUUGACUCAUGAAGAACUUUUUUCCAAUCUUUGUGCAAAGCUAGACUUUUUAUUCAUCUUUUAGACACAACAGAGGUAUAAGUGCUGUGAUUUACCUCUCUAUUUGCAAACACACUCUCAUGACUAUCAUCACCUAAGUGGUUAAAGGUAUAUGUCAGGUGUUCAUCUGUGUAUUGAUGUCAGACAAAAAGUCUAACACGGAGAUUAAAGCUGAUAAACUCAUUAUCGCUUGUGCUCGUCGCCUUUGAUUUCUGGCCUGAGGGUGCAGGAGUCAAAUCCAGCAGAGUGAGUUAAGAUGCAGCAGAGACCAGGAGCCAUAAAUCAAAAAGGGGUUUCAUCCUCAACUUUUGAGAGAACUUUGACAGAGCUGUGAGGGGUGCAUGUCAACAUCAAACCAGGUAAACUUUUGAAACUGCUUUUUGAAUACUAAGUGCUCGUUUUUAAGGCAAUUCAUGAAACUUACAAGGUAAAGUUAGAGAAAAAGUAUUUUAAUGUCAUAAAAUAAAGGGACAAUCUGUCACACUAUUUACGGUAAUAGAUCUGUUAGUUUAUUUUAUUACAAUAUGUCAAUGUUUAAAGAAGUGAGACAACUUUAUUCGGUAAUGGCAUCUCAAAAUGAUGCACUACUCUCUCUGGGAGGUGAAUGGGUACUUCUUCUAAGUGUAGGAUCUCAGUAUCUUUACAAGUUAACAAAUACAUUGUGGGUAAAAUUCAUAGAGAUAGAGAGACAUAUCUAUGUGGCUUCAGCAAUAAUGCAAUGUUGCACUGGACCAUUGGGGUGAGGAGGGAGCUAAGCCUGAAGGCAAAGCUUUCGAUUGAGCAGUCAAUCCACGUACUGACACACACCUGUGAUCAUGGGCUGUGGGUAGUGACCGAAAGAAUGACAUUGUGGAUCCACGUGGCUGAAAUGGGUUUCCUUUUAAGGGUGGAUGAGCUCAGCCUUGGAGAUCAGAACAGAGGCUUAAAUAUUCAGGGGAAGCUUAGAGGAGAGUUUCCACCCCUUUGCAUCAAGAGAAACCAUUCCAGGUGAUCGGAGUCUGUGUGCCUCUCUUUGGGGGUAUGUCACACUAGAAGGCAUGGGGACACCUCCGUUACUGGACGAAGGGAUGUUUUGGGCAACUUCGCCUGCUGCUACUGUGACCCAGGGUUAAAAAGCCUGAAGGACGGUAUGAUAUACUGUGUUAUUAUGAAGCUGUCUCUUUUUGCCUGUUGGUCUGUCCCUCAGAAAGGAAAAGGAAUGUGGGGCCAAUGUUUCCUACAUAAUGUAGUGACAGUUUCAGUUGUAGGUGAAUUUGAGGUCGGUCUAUAUUUCAUAAUGAGAAAUAAGAAACUUUGGCAGCUACUGUGCUGAACAGAAAAGCACCAGGAGCUGACUCAGGGCCCAGGGGAUCAGGAGGCCUUGGUACAGGGUCAUUUUUAAUGUUUUUUUUUAUAAAAAGUCGAUAAAAAACUACAAAGACACAAACAUAACCACAGAGAAAUGUGAAAUAACAAAAAACUAUUCAAUAAAAGAUGUAAAUUUACUAUGGUAGGACUGAAAAUGCGCAUGGAGUUGUGCUUAACCACCCAAAGGUGACAGAAAGUAAAAGAAAAAAACAGACACAAAACCACCAUGCACUUGCAAACCAACCACAAACAGAAGAUAACUAUAAUAAGAAAUGCAAAAAUGACUACAUAACCAUGUAGGCGUAAUGGAAGACACCAAAGAGAGAAAAAAAGAUAACAAGAGGCAGAAAAUGCCACACAGAGAAGCAAAACAACCACAGAGAGUAACUACGCAACUGCACAAAGAUGCAAAAUGACCACAAUAAGACACUAAGAGGCCCAGAGCAACCAAAAAAUGUUGCUAAAUAGCCCCACAAAAACUCCACAUAACACAUAAUGGUGGAAAAUUAAGGUAAAGAACCACAAUAAGACAAGAGACGAAAAAAAAUGUUUCCUUUUAUGAUCAGGUGCCAAACUCAACUGCAACAGAUCAGAUGGACUUCCUGAAAAACUGCUUAUUCUCACUUGUCGUCACUUAGUCCUGUUUUCAUCCUGUCAUUGGUUUUCUCUUACAAUUUCAAAGGGCGAUGUGAGCUUCCAUUUGGCUUCCUCGAUUUUCACUUUCCUCACUUCUCCGCAGUCAGAAUUUCAAUGUCUCCGCAUGGCUGACCCCUUCUUCUCAGCAAGCUUGUGUUGGUAAUAGAACGCUACAUUAGGGCCAGCCCUUGGACUCUGCCUUCUACGUGAAGCAAGAUACCCCUGUCACUUCUCCUGAAACACCUGCACAUCACAGAAAGGAGGGAGGAGAGGAGAUGAAAAGAAGGAGAUGGUGGAGAUGGGUUUGUGUUCCUGAAUGACUUGUUGAUCAAAUACAAGAACCCGUCUUGUGGCAGGUGCAUUGGGUAAAAUACAGCAGCUCUUAUAGUGAUGGGGUUUCAGGCAGCCUUUCAUUCAGAGAAGGCAAGAAAACGAAAAUAAACGUCAGGAACAAAGACUGCAGCAUCUAAAAUAAUCGUGAAAAGCAAUGGAUGCUGGAGCAGAUCUACUCUGGAUGAUGAAUGGACUGAAAAGAGGCUCCUGAAGAUCUCUUUCCAGUCUUUUUCACAAGCACAGACCCAAAAACUAUUAGGAUUUUUCCUUUUCUAAUCCAGACUCUAUAUUUUUUCUACAAAUUGUCAAAUAAUCUUCACACGAUUGUGUCCGUUCAUCCAUUCGUCUUAUUGUCAACUUGUCACCCGACUGUAUUUGUGUGCCCUUGAGCCUGAGCAUGUGCGUCGUCUUAUUCCAGUUUAACGCUAACAGGCACUCGCAGAUUAAGAAAAUUGUAUUGGAACAAUACUCAUAAUAGACUUUAGCUGUGUGCUGCCAGUGGGGUGACACCCCUAUUAUACAGACAAGUGGAGCACGGCGUAGGGCUGUGUCAGCAUGAUAAAACCGCUUAGAGGUACAGGCCUGACAGCAGGAACAGCAAAGGGGUGCCAUCCACGGAGCUCCGCCAUGCAAAUGUGAUUGCUGGAGUAGAGCAGGUAGAGAAAAGGAAGUAUUUAUUUAUUGAGACGAUGAAACUUUGCUAUGAAAGUACCUCCUUUUACCAAUGUCAGACAUUGGCCUUGAAAAUAAACAACUUCACUUCAUAACCAGAAACCAGACCCACUUCUGACACUCAAAUCGCUUACAGAGGCAGCUUUAGAGGGUAAAUAAGAUAAUUGUUGUAGUUGGUUUGUUUACUCAGUUUGAGCUUUAAUUCAUUAAUAAAGUGGUUGAAGAAGAUUUAAGCUGCAGUCCGAAGACCCUGAUUGAUAUUGAUGCUUGAGAAAAUUGAUGAUCUCCUCACAGUAUGAAUUCCUGUACAACUUCCUCUAACAUGUCCUUACGCUAAACAUUACAUGCGUCCUCAUCCAUAGCUCACAUCAUUCUUAUUGUUGUAAACAGAAAGGGUGAUUUUGAUUUGUUAGCUCUAUCAGCGUCCCUUAGUUCCUUUAUUAAACAGCAUUUCAGCCUCAACCCCUGUCAGUGUGAUUUUAAAGACAGGACUCUUUCCUGAUUGGUCAAUACUCCAUAGCAAUGGUCUGCUAUUUCUCCAUAGUAAAAUGUUGCUAUGGAGAUCAAUUCUCACUCUACAUGUCAAAUCAAAUCGAUUGACCAAGAGGUUUUCUAAACAUUUUGGGUCUGCCUGUUGACACCGUGGCAAAAAUUGGAGUUUUAUCUCACUUCCCCUAAUGCUAUUCUUUUUUACAGGUAUGAACAGAAGAGCGCUCUAGUCUCCCAUGGAUUCUGUGUCACUGAAUGCAUCACAGAAGCCGUAAAGCUGUUAAGUCAGAGCGUUUAUAGUCUUGUUUUGAUACAUGGACAUAAAAAUAGUUCUGCUAGUCUUUAGUAUGAUUCAGGUGCUCAGUUCUUAUGAGAGUAUGGGGGGAGAAAGACCCAUCGUGAAGAUGCUUGUUGCUUUACAUGAUCCUGAGUCCGAUCAGAAAGUAGAAAAGAUUGAAGUUGAUCCCCAUAAGAACAAAUCUCCACAUCUCACCGCACAAGCAAGAAUGUGUGAGAUAUUUUUCAGGAGCAGUAGCAUCCAAAUUAAAUUAGUAGCAGUAAAAUAUCUGCAUCAAACAAAUAAUGGAGGAGUAGCCCUGAGCAUGAAAUUUAUCACAUACCAAAUUCACAUUUGUUUACAUUCACUGCAAUAAGCCAUAGGUGUCUGUGUGGGCACGUAUGCAUUUGGAAAUACAUAUAUUAAGGGGUCUGUAUUUGUCACAGGCCAUCCAGUGUAUUUGUGCUGUCCCUCUUAGGCUUCUUGGCACUGCUUCACCUCAAAUGCUAUCAACUCCCUCUGAGCACAGCUAUUUGUCAUUUGUAAGAUUUCCACAGGGUGUUUUCUUUCUACUUUUUAAUCAAGGCUUGGAUCCCAUGCUGAGAGGCCUAUUCAGCUAUGAAACAAGGCCCUGUCAUCCCCGGCUAACGACAGGCAUCUGUAGCAGAGAGAGACGCUCCCAGACAAAUGAGCUCCUCUCUCUCUCUCUCUCCCUCACACACGCACACACAAACACAUGCAAGCUUGUACAAGAUGAACACAAGGGAAGAGGAACGAUGCUAGAUAGACAAACACUAUAACUAUCUAAAUGGAGUAGCCUGUCAUGUGCUGAACAGCAGGCUUUUAAACACAGUAGUUUGCUAAUGUAAAUAUUUGUCUUGUGCUGCAGCAAAGGAUUAAUGACUGUAGUUUACUCUGUUCAGUCCAGACAGUAAUUUAACGAGCACUAAAAUGCCCAGUUAAUUCAAAAUUGGCCUCAUGAUCUUUCUUUUUUGUUAACAAUCCAAUCCAUGUAAAGUCUAAAAGUAUAUUAAAUAGUUUUUCAGACAGUGAACAGCUCAAAUAUUAAUUGUAUAAAAAGAUAAAACAUAAAAAUGCAUAUUAAAAUGAGCAAAAGUCCAGAUUUUUUCACUCCACUAAACUUCGGCAAUAGUAAUUUUAGCGCUCAGUUUUUGAGGGAAAAAGGCAGGUUAUCUUUAAGUCCCACUCUGAUUGUUUUUUUUAUUUUUUAUUAUUACUGUGUUAUUAGUGGCUAAAAGUUUUUAGCCAAAAUCAUGUUACUUGUGUCAUUUUCAAGGGCCUUUCUUCUGCAGAGCUCCAGUAGCUCAUUAGCAAUGCCCCUCUGAACCGUGGGCAGAGACAGCGCUGCUCUGCACACUUCUCCUCGAGUUAGCUUGCAGCCUAACAUUGCCGGUGUAGUAGAAGAAACAGGUAACAUAGGAGCUAUUCAGCUCUCUGACACUAAUGUCUUUAGGGGCAUGAUGAAAGCUAAUAUAAGAAUUAGCUUUCUUAGGAGGAUUUCAAUCCACCAACGCAGACGCUUGUUCCGUGAUCGUCUUCUCUAUUUCUCCAAGCCUGGCCUGCAUAGCGAGGGCUACGGGGCGGAGCUUGGAUUGGUUACAUAGGAAAUCUCACUGUAUC